rnacentral:tRNA from 2 species
GAGGGUAGUAGUGAAAACUACAGGAGAAUGAAAAUCCGUUGACCGCAAGGUCGUGAGGGUUCAAGUCCCUCCACCCCCA